rnacentral:rRNA from 1 species
UACGUAGGGGCCUAGCGUUGUCCGGAUUUAUUGGGCGUAAAGAGCUCGUAGGCGGCCUGUUGCGUCCGCUGUGAAAACCCGGGGCUUAACCCCGGGCUUGCAGUGGAUACGGGCAGGCUGGAGGCAGGCAGGGGAGAACGGAAUUCCCGGUGUAGCGGUGAAAUGCGCAGAUAUCGGGAGGAACACCGGUGGCGAAGGCGGUUCUCUGGGCCUGUACUGACGCUGAGGAGCGAAAGCGUGGGGAGCGAACAGG